AGUGAACGCUGGCGGUAGGCCUAACACAUGCCAGUCGAACGGCAGCACAGUAAGGGCUUGCUCUUACGGGUGGCGAGUGGCGGACGGGUGAGGAAUACAUCGGAAUCUACUUUUUCGUGGGGGAUAACGUAGGGAAACUUACGCUAAUACCGCAUACGACCUACGGGUGAAAGCAGGGGAUCUUCGGACCUUGCGCGAUUGAAUGAGCCGAUGUCGGAUUAGCUAGUUGGCGGGGUAAAGGCCCACCAAGGCGACGAUCCGUAGCUGGUCUGAGGGGAUGAUCAGCCACACUGGAACUGAGACACGGUCCAGACUCCUACGGGAGGCAGCAGUGGGGAAUAUUGGACAAUGGGCGCAAGCCUGAUCCAGCCAUACCGCGUGGGUGAAGAAGGCCUUCGGGUUGUAAAGCCCUUUUGUUGGGAAAGAAGAGCAGCAGGUUAAUACCCCGCUGUUCUGACGGUACCCAAAGAAUAAGCACCGACUAACUUCGUG
rnacentral:rRNA from 1 species